UACGGAAGGCAGCAGUAGGGAAUAUUGGGCAAUGGGCGAGAGCCUGACCCAGCCAUGCCGCGUGCAGGAAGAAGGCUUUCUGAGUCGUAAACUGCUUUUGACAGGGAAGAAUAAGGUGUACGUGUACACUGAUGACGGUACCUGCAGAAUAAGCACCGGCUAACUCCGUGCCAGCAGCCGCGGUAAUACGGAGGGUGCGAGCGUUGUCCGGAUUUAUUGGGUUUAAAGGGUGCGUAGGCGGUCCAUUAGUCUGGGGUGAAAGCCCGCUGCUCAACAGCGGAACUGCCCCUGGAUACUGGCGGACUUGAGUACAGACGAGGUUGGCGGAAUGGACAGAGUAGCGGUCGAAAUGCAUAGAUACUGUCCAGAACCCCGAUUGCGAAGGCAGCUGACUAGGCUGUUACUGACGCUGAGGCACGAAAGCGUGGGGAGCGAACAGGGAAUUAAGAUACC
rnacentral:rRNA from 1 species